rnacentral:rRNA from 1 species
GGGGGGGGGGGGGGGGGGGCGGGGCGCGGGGGGGGCGGGGGGUGGCGGGGCGCAGCUUGCUGCUGCGCUGACGAGUGGCGGGCGGGUGAGUGCUGGCUGGGAAACUGCCGGAUGGAGGGGGAUAACUACUGGAAACGGUAGCUAAUACCGCAUAACGUCGCAGGACAAAAGAGGGGGAACUUAGGGCCUCUUGCCAUCGGAUGUGCCCAGAUGGGAUUAGCUAGUAGGUGGGGUAACGGCUCACCUACGCGACGAUCCCUAGCUGGUCUGAGAGGAUGACCAGCCACACUGGAACUGAGACACGGUCCAGACUCCUACGGGAGGCAGCAGUGGGGAAUAUUGCACAAAGGGCGCAAGCCUGAUGCAGCCAUGCCGCGUGUAUGAAGAAGGCCUUCGGGUUGUAAAGUACUUUCAGCGGGGAGGAAGGGAGUAAAGUUAAUACCUUUGCUCAUCGACGUUACCCGCAGAAGAAGCACCGGCUAACUCCGUG